CGCAUAAGACAAGGUGGGUAAAGAAAAUGGACAAGCGUGUGGAUCUUUUCUGCUGCACAGGACGUGGUCUUUCCGACCGGGUACAGGCACUGGAAUAGGGAUUGAGCACUUGUUCGGCAGCGGCGUGUGGACGAGACGGGGAGGCAGAGAGAGAGAGAGAGAGUUUAGGCUGCCGCCGUGACCAAAGAGAGGCCACUCGUAGAGGGACCGGGGAACCGGGAUGGGUGCAUGGGCCACCAGUACCCGUUAAGCAGAGGUGUGCGGCCGAGACGGCAACCCAGAGAAAAGGGGGUUGGAACUGCCGCGGUCCCAAACAAGAGGCCGCUCUACACGAGGAAACCACAACUCCACGGUGCCCUAGGUACAAACCCUGCAGUCUCGGCUAAGGACUACAUAAGGGCACCUCAGCGCCCUAAAGUACUCGUAGCGGCUAUGGGUCGACCCGGCGCCGUCGCUCCCGUGUGUAGACACGCCCCUGCGGACGAAUCCAAACGAGUCUUCGGUGGUCGCCGACCUGGUAAUCGCCGACAGGGGGCACCUACUCAAACGGCUUCGCGCCGUUCCACCUGGUAUGUACAUUACUUCCCGGGGUUUAGAAGGCCAGCCUACCUCAGUCCCCGAAGAGAAUCAUAGUAGCUUCGACUUUAAACGUUGCGACGACUCGAACCUUCGCCACCCGUUUCACCACCUAAGGGGGGACUUCGGCCACACAAGGUUCAAACGCGACUUCGAUGAUCACCUACCUGGUACAUAAAAACAGUUUAAUUGCUACAGAGACAGGAUAACUGUUGACAACGACAAAGUAUACUAUGAGAGAACUGUCGUCCUUGGACUAAGUAGUGCUUACUACGUUAUUAACUUCUAUACUUCUUCCGAAUGUACCUGCGCGUUCUCUAGCUCCUCAUCUUGUUUAUUCGAAAUACGUUACCUAUUAAACGUUCCGUUCCAAGAGGUACGGACAUACAUGCAACGACGAAAACCUUAAACCGUCAACGAAUGACCAUUACAAAGUACUAACUACGACUUAAGGAUCUACGUAAAACAUUUGUAAACCUAAACAGGUCCCCGUACGGACAUACAUGAUCUACAAAUGAACAAAAGUGAAUAGACGUCUUCACCAUACAAAGGAUACUCUAAUUUAAUUGAUCCAGGAUUAAUACAUAAUACACUUUACCAUAUAUAAUUACCUACACAUAAAAGACC
rnacentral:rRNA from 1 species